AUUAGAUAAAAAACCAAUGCCCCCCGGGGCUCCCUGGUGAUUCAUAAUAACUUCACGAAUCGCAUGGCCUUGCGCCGGCGAUGGUUCAUUCAAAUUUCUGCCCUAUCAACUUUCGAUGGUAGGAUAGUGGCCUACCAUGGUGGCAACGGGUAACGGGGAAUUAGGGUUCGAUUCCGGAGAGGGAGCCUGAGAAACGGCUACCACAUCCAAGGAAGGCAGCAGGCGCGCAAAUUACCCAAUCCCAAUCCGGGGAGGUAGUGACAAUAAAUACUGAUACAGGGCUCUUUUGGGUCUUGUAAUUGGAAUGAGAACAAUCUAAAUCCCUUAACGAGGAACAAUUGGAGGGCAAGUCUGGUGCCAGCAGCCGCGGUAAUUCCAGCUCCAAUAGCGUAUAUUAAAGUUGUUGCAGUUAAAAAGCUCGUAGUUGAACCUUGGGCCCGUCCUGCCGGUCCGCCUCACCGCGAGUACUGGUCCGGAUGGGCCUUUCUUUCUGGGGAAUCCCAUGGCCUUCACUGG
rnacentral:rRNA from 1 species